GUUUUUUCUUUGGUCGACCACCAUCCAUGGUUGCCAUGUAAUAUCAAUCUCAAACAAAAAAUUUCAAAGUCAAAAAAAUUGUGUGCAGAAUAGGAAAUGAAAGAGAGAGGGAUCCGUGCUCCAAUGCCUAUCGCUUCUUGCGAUGGCCAAAAGCCAGAUUCGUGUUCCUCUCAACAUGAUGAUCCGAUCCCUGGCAACGAUAGACUCUGUUUCAAGCUCCAUGAUCGCCAACGAAGCCUUGAAAUCUCCGCCUAAAAGGGGACCGACCGAGAAGAUGAACGGAGCUUCCAAGCUCCAGGGUUCUGUUGGCGUCGUCAACAGGAAGUCAUAGCAGUCGUGCGUGCAUCGAACGGAGCUCCGGGCUCCGAUGUACUAUGGUAGAUCGAAGAUGAAGAAAACGAAUCAGUCGGAGGAAGAAGACAUUGAGGGGGAGAGAGAGUCUGAGAGUAAAGAAGAUUUAAUUUUUAAUUAAUUUAAAUAUAUUUUGUUAUUUUUAAAAUUUUAAAUGUUUUAAAUUAAUUUUUUAUGUUUUGAAAUCAAUUUAAAUAUAUAUUUUUAAAAAAUUA